AACGAACGCUGGCGGCAUGCCUAACACAUGCAAGUCGAACGAGACCUUCGGGUCUAGUGGCGCACGGGUGCGUAACGCGUGGGAACCUGCCCUUAGGCUCGGAAUAACUCCCCGAAAGGGGUGCUAAUACCGGAUAAUGUCUUCGGACCAAAGAUUUAUCGCCUUUGGAUGGGCCCGCGUUGGAUUAGCUAGUUGGUAGGGUAAAAGCCUACCAAGGCGACGAUCCAUAGCUGGUCUGAGAGGAUGAUCAGCCACACUGGGACUGAGACACGGCCCAGACUCCUACGGGAGGCAGCAGUGGGGAAUAUUGGACAAUGGGCGAAAGCCUGAUCCAGCAAUGCCGGGUGAGUGCCGAAGGCCUUAGGGUUGUAAAGCUCUGUUACCCGGGAUGAUAAUGACAGUACCGGGAGAAUAAGCGCCGGCUAACUCCGUG
rnacentral:rRNA from 1 species